ensembl:lncRNA
GUAUUGACCCCGUAUACACACCACCUUCUGCUAUCCCCAGGUUUGGGAGGUUGGGAAGUACUGGUUUUCAAAUUGCUUCAAGUCCUCCAACUUCUUAAAACAUAAACUUAAGAACCCUAACUUAUAAAAUGGAGGGCCAUUCCAGCAAACUUCAGAUCUUGUCCCCCUCCCGUGCCCUCCAUGAGAAAACGGCUGAAAACAACUUGAAAACACAAAAACUCGCCACUCGUCCCCCAAACUCCGCAGGGCGGCAGGCGCUCAGCCGCCCUGCCCACCGGCGCCCCAAGCUGUUUACCCGUUCUUCAGUCCAGCCGUCCGCCGGCCCGACCUCCCAUACUUGACCAUCUCUCUGCCUGGCCAGCCACCACGUGGCCGUGGGAACGCCGGGCUCCGGAGUCCUCCAGCAGCCGCGCCGCCUUGGCGCCCCAACCUCCCCGCGCCGCUCGCCCCGCGAAGCGCUGCGUACUCACCGGCUGCGCUCCCGACUUCGCCGCGCUCCACUUGAAACUGAAAGCAGGCGCGGAGUAGCCCGGCGGCGGGCUCUCGGAGCCGGCUGCCUCUGCUGGGAAAUCACGUGGGUUCUCGGUGCCCGGGCGCGGGACGGGCGGGGCGGCACACCCGCUCCAGUGCCUCCUGCGCUCAGCCACCUGCGCGGACAGGACCCGGGGAUGGCACCAAGGGAAAGCCCCUCCCGUGGAUGUGAAACCGAGGCGCAGGGAUGAGGAUGGGCGCACCCGGGGGGCGCCGGUAGACCCCGGGCUGAGUUCCGCUUUCCCUGCCUCCCUGGAGACUAAGG